CCGCCAACCACGACGCGAUAUGGCGCUGUUGUUAUUGUUGAUAUUGUUGUUAUUGUUGUUGCCAAUACUUGAGUCCAGAGGCGAUCCGGCUUGUGGUUGACUUGCAGGUUGUCCUGUUUGGGGUCUACAAUUUCCAUCUGCGACACCAAAUCCCGUGAAGUCUGCAAUAAAAUCUCACAUACCUGCCUAACAUUUGAGCGAAGUGUGUGUGACAUGAAACUACUAUCUCUGAUGCAGGAUUGGACACGGUGACACUACGACAGGAUUACAGGAGCAGGAUCCGCCAGGACUUGACCCCGUCGUCGUCACCAGGGCAUUCUGUAAUUUCUGGCACGGUCAUUUGUCAUUGGAGUUUUCCGGUUGAACGUCAUCAAUCAUGGUCUUUAACAUUGUGUGCGGCGUGCCAUCCGUCCGCCCGUUCGUUUUAGGACGCACGCGCGCACGAUAAUGCGACGACAUGCUGUCAUUAUGCGCGUGUGUCUCUGUGUGUACCUACUACGGUCACAAUGACGACACGCCACUAACUGGCGGAGCAAGAAUAGAGGCGACGGCGGUGGUCCCUUGUGUUUUCACACGCGUUUUCGUUCACACGUAUCCCAUUACUACGGUCUUAUAUACAUAUUUAUACCUGGUAUAUACCUGGUUAAGGGUUAUGCUGUGGACGCGAGCCGCACGUGACCGGCUGUGCGGGGUCGAUAUUAUUCAAAUCGUUCUACCACGACGCGUGGGCGUUCGGCAAUCUGGACUGCUAAACGAUUUCUAUAUGAUAAAAAUAAGUAUAAUAAUAUCAUGAUAGGUGUGUAACGACUGCCGUCAUUUGCAGUGAUGGCUGCAAAACCACCGGCGGUUACUAAAACCGUUCGAACACAGCACUACAUUCGAUGUGUGCUCAUGUGUGUUUUCAAUGGGUCACAUAUGUCCCUCCUGAUACUAGACAGUUAAUAAUCAUUAAACGUGCAAGCCAUUCUUAAACAGAUGAAUCACUAAAUGUGCCUGUGAGGAAUUCAAGAAAUUUAUGAAGGUAACAAAGAAAAUUGAGUUGUCAAAAAUAGAUAUUGAGCUGUCUGAAUUUCUCUUUGACCAAAUAUAAGAUAGGUACUAUGUAAUAAUGGGAUUUUAAAGUAGAUGCGAUGGAGAGGUUUACUUUCAUAAUAAAUGGUAAAAUCCGAAAAAAUAAUCUAAAUAUUUCAGUGGAACAAUUGUGUAACUAUGGCAUCAGUAGUAGUUCUUCACUUUUAAGCUAUAUAAGAUUAAUAAAUUUUUUUUUUUUAAUCUUGAAAUUUAAUAAUGAAAAAAACAUUAUACACUAAACAUUCUCCGUGGCGUCCCCAGUCGGUUUAUUUUUGCUCUUGUUCUCCCAUGUAUUUCAUACAAUACUAUUUAUCUUUGCUUUUAUCGGUUUGCUGAUAAAAUAUUCACAGGAUUCCCGUUACUGUGGUGGUAGUGUAAUGCAUAUCUAAUGGGAAAUUUACCGGUAGGAUUUCAAUUCACAAGAAUAGAGGAGGCCGUACGGAACAAAUAUGAAGGUGGUGGUUGUUUUGCAAUAACAGUUACAGAAAUUGGAAGAACCGGCGGAACGGGAAAGUUAUUAUACGUAUACCUUAGCCAACGGUUGUAUUGUACUGCUCUUCCGGUGUAAGCUAUGAUAUAAAUUAUUGCUAAGAGCGGACAACGGCAAUAUCGUUUUCAAAACUAUCGGUACCUAACCAAAACAUGGAUACAUAUAUGUAGCAUCGGUAUACACCUACAACCGCUGUAUCAACUUUGCUAUCCAGUAGUUACGUUGAAAUAUUUUUCAACCAACAUUAUCUGUUUCAAGGUAAUUUAGUUAAUAAGACCGUAUAAUAUUAUGUAUCCUGUAUACACAAUAAUAUGUAAAUCAAUUUUAUUAUAUUGUCGUGCAACGAAAUAAUUAAAAUAAUUAUUUAAUCUUAAAUGUGAUUGUUUCUGUAAAAUUAAAACAAAUAACCCGAGUAAUAUGCGACUCGUAAGGGCGAGCUUUUAGUUUCAUGUUAAAUAUUUAUGUGUAAAUUAAACUUUUAAAACCGGAUAUUGUUUACAUGCAUGCAAUUCAGCCGUUUUCCUUGAGGAUUUGAGAAGUAUAAUUCAAUGAAUCAAAAAAAUUGAAAUAAUAAUUUUAUUACAAAGAAAUGUAUGUAUUAUUUUGAACCACAAAUAUGAUAAAUUAUGUACUUUGAAAUAGCUUCAGGGAAAUUGUAAUCAAAUUAAAUAAGUCACUGAUAUUUAUUCUAGAAUAUUAUGCGUGUUAAAUAUUAUUUGAUAUAUUAUUAUACAUCAAACAGUUGUAUAGG